GACGAACGCUGGCGGCGUGCCUAAUACAUGCAAGUCGAACGCAGUGGGGACGGGUGAGUAACACGUGGGUAACCUCCAAUCAGAGGGGAUAACACUUGAAAACAGGUGCUAAACCGAUACUGAUGGAUGGACCCGCGGUGCAUUAGCUAGUUGGUGAGGUAAAGGCUCACCAAGGCCACGAUGCAUAGCCGACCGUGGAGGGUGAUCGGACACACGGGGAAUGAGACACGGCCCAGAAUCCUACGGGAGGCAGGAGUAGGGAAUCUUCGGCAAUGGACGAAAGUCUGACCGAGCAACGCCGCGUGAGUGAAGAAGGUUUUCGGAUCGGAAAACUCUGUUGUGAGAGAAGCGGUAGCUAACAAGAAAGCCACGGCUAACUACGUGCCAGCAGCCGCGGUAAUAC
rnacentral:rRNA from 1 species